rnacentral:rRNA from 1 species
AAAUUGAAGAGUUUGAUCAUGGCUCAGAUUGAACGCUGGCGGCAGGCCUAACACAUGCAAGUCGAGCGGUAGCACAGAGAGCUUGCUCUCGGGUGACGAGCGGCGGACGGGUGAGUAAUGUCUGGGAAACUGCCUGAUGGAGGGGGAUAACUACUGGAAACGGUAGCUAAUACCGCAUAACGUCGCAAGACCAAAGUGGGGGACCUUCGGGCCUCAUGCCAUCAGAUGUGCCCAGAUGGGAUUAGCUAGUAGGUGGGGUAAUGGCUCACCUAGGCGACGAUCCCUAGCUGGUCUGAGAGGAUGACCAGCCACACUGGAACUGAGACACGGUCCAGACUCCUACGGGAGGCAGCAGUGGGGAAUAUUGCACAAUGGGCGCAAGCCUGAUGCAGCCAUGCCGCGUGUAUGAAGAAGGCCUUCGGGUUGUAAAGUACUUUCAGCGAGGAGGAAGGCGUUAAGGUUAAUAACCUUAGCGAUUGACGUUACUCGCAGAAGAAGCACCGGCUAACUCCGUGCCAGCAGCCGCGGUAAUACGGAGGGUGCAAGCGUUAAUCGGAAUUACUGGGCGUAAAGCGCACGCAGGCGGUCUGUUAAGUCAGAUGUGAAAUCCCCGGGCUCAACCUGGGAACUGCAUUUGAAACUGGCAGGCUUGAGUCUUGUAGAGGGGGGUAGAAUUCCAGGUGUAGCGGUGAAAUGCGUAGAGAUCUGGAGGAAUACCGGUGGCGAAGGCGGCCCCCUGGACAAAGACUGACGCUCAGGUGCGAAAGCGUGGGGAGCAAACAGGAUUAGAUACCCUGGUAGUCCACGCUGUAAACGAUGUCGACUUGGAGGUUGUUCCCUUGAGGAGUGGCUUCCGGAGCUAACGCGUUAAGUCGACCGCCUGGGGAGUACGGCCGCAAGGUUAAAACUCAAAUGAAUUGACGGGGGCCCGCACAAGCGGUGGAGCAUGUGGUUUAAUUCGAUGCAACGCGAAGAACCUUACCUACUCUUGACAUCCAGAGAACUUAGCAGAGAUGCUUUGGUGCCUUCGGGAACUCUGAGACAGGUGCUGCAUGGCUGUCGUCAGCUCGUGUUGUGAAAUGUUGGGUUAAGUCCCGCAACGAGCGCAACCCUUAUCCUUUGUUGCCAGCGGUUCGGCCGGGAACUCAAAGGAGACUGCCAGUGAUAAACUGGAGGAAGGUGGGGAUGACGUCAAGUCAUCAUGGCCCUUACGAGUAGGGCUACACACGUGCUACAAUGGCAUAUACAAAGAGAAGCGACCUCGCGAGAGCAAGCGGACCUCAUAAAGUAUGUCGUAGUCCGGAUUGGAGUCUGCAACUCGACUCCAUGAAGUCGGAAUCGCUAGUAAUCGUAGAUCAGAAUGCUACGGUGAAUACGUUCCCGGGCCUUGUACACACCGCCCGUCACACCAUGGGAGUGGGUUGCAAAAGAAGUAGGUAGCUUAACCUUCGGGAGGGCGCUUACCACUUUGUGAUUCAUGACUGGGGUGAAGUCGUAACAAGGUAACCGUAGGGGAACCUGCGGUUGGAUCACCUCCUUA